UGGCGGGUGCUUACACAUGCAAGUCGAACGCGCAGCAUUCUGUAGCAAUACAGGUGUGGGCGCGUGGCGAACGGGUGCGUAACACGUGGAUACCUUCCUUCAGGUGGGGAAUAACCCAGUGAAAACUGGGCUAAUACCGCAUAACAUGACGAUGGCACAUGCUGUUGUCUUCAAAGGCGCAAGUCGCCAGAAGAGGGAUCCGCGGCGAUUAGCUUGUUUGGCGAGGUAAUGGCUCACCAAGGCAUUGAUCGGUAGCCGGACUGAGAAGUUGGCCGGGCACACUUGGAACUUGAGACACGGUCCAGACUCCUACGGGAGGCAGCAGUGGGGAAUCUUGCACAAUGGACGAAAGUCUGAUGCAGCAACGCCGCGUGGGGGAUGAAGCUUUUCGGAGUGUAAACCCCUUUCGACCCGGAAGAAUGCCCGCAAGGGUUUGACGGUACGGGUAUAAGAAGCCCCGGCUAACUACGUGCCAGCAGCCGCGGUAAUACGUAGGGGGCCAGCG
rnacentral:rRNA from 1 species